AAACCAGCCACAGAAGAGACUGUCUUUGAGUAUAUUUUGGAUACAGAACCUAACCUGGUGAAUUCAACGAACACAGAAAACAUCGUGCCAAGAUCUACCAUGAACUUACUACUAGAAUUUCAUUCUAAUCAAGAUCACGAAACAGUAGAAAGAAGGAACAGUGAGCUACAAGAAGAACGAGACCGUCUGUUGGAAGAGAACCGUUAUUUGAGUCACAGGAUGACCUGCAAAAUAUGUCUGGACAAUGACGCAUGCAUUGCGUUUAUUCCGUGCGGGCACAUGGUAUCAUGCAGGCAAUGUGCUGAGAGACUAAGCACGUGCGCGGUCUGUAGGGCUGACAUAAGAGAUACAAUACGUGUAUAUCCCGCCUGAAACCAAAAUAAUUAAACUAAAAGAAUCCCUCUGGAUACGUUGGUACCUUCCCUUCGCCCUACUGGCUCGAGCACAAACCGGUCCUUCAGAUUCUGUAGAUGUUAUAACACAAAAAAAAGCAUUGAAAUAUUCAAUAUAUAUACAGGUUUCUCGUAAUUAAAAUCCCUAGCGGACAGGACGUUUCUGUAUUAUUUUAAGUUGAUGUUGAUGAUAUGACAUAUCCAAAUUGAAAAUAAAAGUUUAAGAACAAAA